rnacentral:sRNA from 1 species
UAAGGGUUGUCAACUCGCAGUACUGCGAUA